AUGGAUCCGUCUGCCCGCAAUAAUGCCCUCUAUGCCAUUAAUUGUUGUUGGGAGGAUGAGGCCUUUGGGUACAUUUUACGUGACCCAAUAGAUCUAAGGUUGUUAACGCUCCCGACGCAACGUGGUGCACUGAGGAUCAUGCAAACAUGCCUCCCUCAUUUGCCUGGACAUGUCAAUGAUGUUAGAUGUAUUGUAGGCUUUGUUUCGUUGUUAUCAUCACCCCACACGGAAGUGGUGUGUGGAUGCGCCGAUGCACUGUUGCAAUUGUCCUUUGUUUUGCCAGGAUUUGCUUAUGUCGUGGCAAAAGCCUACUGUAAUUUGAUUGCCCAUACACCAUCUCUACGAACUGAAAACAUGCUAAUAAUUCUCGAUCGGCUACAACAACUCAAGUCUGCCAUCAUGGAAGGUUCUGGUAUGGAUGACAUGGCCACUUAUGUCCUCCGUGCGCUAGCAGUCGGUGAUCUUGCUGUGCAACAGAAGGUUUUAAACCUCGCAAUGGGCCUCCUCACCCCGUGGAACAUCAAAAGCAUGGUUCACUUCUUGCAUAGUGAGAAGAAUGCAGCAACCGAGACUACUGAGUAUUGUGUUAUGCUGGAGCGGGCGAUCGAAGCAUGCAGUAAAAAAAUGAUUCUUGAAGGUGAUAUGCAUUAG
rnacentral:rRNA from 1 species